GCUGGUGUGGCUCAGUGGUUAGAGUGUCAGCCUGCACACUGGAGGUUCUCAGGUUCAAUUCCUGGUCAAAGGCA
rnacentral:tRNA from 1 species